UUAAAAACGCUGACGAAGAGUAGUACAAAUGCAUUGUGCACGUUUAGAGAGUCUGUGGUUGCUGCAAACAGAUCGUGUACGCGUUUGGAAUGGACUUCCGAGUUAGUUUUGCGAACGUUCAAGUACGUGUACAAUUGACUACUAGCAAAGCUCGUCCCUUCACGUUACGAAGUCGAGUGGCCUUUUUGGCAAGCUGGGUGGUACCGCGGAUACUAACAUCAUUCGUCCCUUCA
rnacentral:ncRNA from 1 species